rnacentral:ncRNA from 1 species
AAGUCAUGUUUGGACAUAAUUUAUAGGAUAUUAUGAUACAAAAAUAAAAACAAGUUGAUGACUCUCGAGAGUUUUUAUCGAUGGAGUCCUUUGACACUUCGAUGUCGACUCAUCACAUCUAUGGUUGAAGAAGGUCCCAAGAAUUUGAUUGUUCACUGAUUUAAGAGGUACGUGAGUUAGGUUUAGAACGUCAUGAGACAAUUCGGUUCCUAUCUACGGAUGGUGUUAAAGGGAGAAAUGCGAGGAGCCAACCCUAGUACGAGAGGAUUGGAUUAAGUUAUCAUGUGGUGUACCAGUUGUUAUGUCAAUAGCAGAGCCGAACAACUAAGUUGGUAUGGCAGAACUAUUGCCUCAAAGAAAAUCCUUCUCUAUACAAGUUCUCGAACGAAGUUUUUGAACGAACUUCCAUAGGUGGUGGAAUCUAUUGGCAUAAUGCACGCUGGAACAUGGAAAUUCAAGGUCUC